rnacentral:rRNA from 1 species
UACGUAGGGUGCAAGCGUUAUCCGGAAUUAUUGGGCGUAAAGAGCUCGUAGGCGGUUUGUCGCGUCUGCUGUGAAAACUGGAGGCUCAACCUCCAGCCUGCAGUGGGUACGGGCAGACUAGAGUGCGGUAGGGGAGAUUGGAAUUCCUGGUGUAGCGGUGGAAUGCGCAGAUAUCAGGAGGAACACCGAUGGCGAAGGCAGAUCUCUGGGCCGUAACUGACGCUGAGGAGCGAAAAGCAUGGGAGAGCGAACAGG